CUACGGGAGGCAGCAGUGGGGAAUCUUGCGCAAUGGGCGAAAGCCUGACGCAGCAACGCCGCGUGUGUGAUGAAGGUCUUCGGAUCGUAAAGCACUGUCGCGAGGGAAGAUACGCCACCGGCUAACACUCGGUGGCUGAGACGGUACCUCGAGAGGAAGCACCGGCUAACUCUGUGCCAGCAGCCGCGGUAAUACAGAGGGUGCGAGCGUUGUUCGGAAUUAUUGGGCGUAAAGCGCUUGUAGGCGGCUUGUUAAGUCGCGUGUGAAAUCCCCAGGCUUAACCUGGGAAGUGCGCGCGAAACUGGCGAGCUUGAAUGCCGGAGAGGGUCGCGGAAUUCCCGGUGUAGAGGUGAAAUUCGUAGAUAUCGGGAGGAACACCAGUGGCGAAGGCGGCGACCUGGACGGACAUUGACGCUGAGACGCGAAAGCGUGGGGAGCAAACAGGAUUAGAUACCCUAGUAG
rnacentral:rRNA from 1 species